AUUGAACGCUGGCGGCAUGCUUUACACAUGCAAGUCGGACGGCAGCACAGAGAAGCUUGCUUCUUGGGUGGCGAGUGGCGCACGGGUGAGUAAUAUAUCGGAACGUACCGAGUAAUGGGGGAUAACUAAUCGAAAGAUUAGCUAAUACCGCAUAUUCUCUGAGGAGGAAAGCAGGGGACCUUCGGGCCUUGCGUUAUUCGAGCGGCCGAUAUCUGAUUAGCUAGUUGGUGGGGUAAAGGCCUACCAAGGCGACGAUCAGUAGCGGGUCUGAGAGGAUGAUCCGCCACACUGGGACUGAGACACGGCCCAGACUCCUACGGGAGGCAGCAGUGGGGAAUUUUGGACAAUGGGCGCAAGCCUGAUCCAGCCAUGCCGCGUGUCUGAAGAAGGCCUUCGGGUUGUAAAGGACUUUUGUCAGGGAAGAAAAGGCUGUUGCUAAUACCGACAGCUGAUGACGGUACCUGAAGAAUAAGCACCGGCUAACUACGUG
rnacentral:rRNA from 1 species